rnacentral:lncRNA from 1 species
CAUUGUGCCACGGAGUCGCACGGCUGCUACAACGUAAACUACCCGGUGUUCUGGCAGUCUGCGCAAGAAGCGGACGCAGCACAGCAGACAAGAAGCGUGCAGCACUAGCGGUCUGUCAGUCCGACUAUCUGCCGAAUAAACUAGGCUACACAAGAAGCGGAGCAGAUAACCACUCGGACAGAUCCACGUCCCGUCCCAGCGGUUGAAAGAACAGAAAGAAACGAGGACACCUUCACAUGUAUGAAGAGCAACACACAACACAAGGGGACUGUGGGUGCAGGUGAGGACAAGGGCAAGUCCUUCGUCCGUCAACGUCAGAAGUGUCCCGGUGCCGCCCAUCCUCAGGUCACCUCAACCACGACGGCAGCCGAACAAAUAGGCAUCUCUCGACCCAGCGUCCCUCAGACUGCCUGCCUUCACCAAGCAAAUAUUUGUGGCCGUUAUAUCUCAUUUCCCAGGUUUAACCUUCAGUGAAAAGAUCAAUGGAAAAGGAGUGAUCGCUCAGAGAGAGACAGACAGAGAGAACAAGAAAGUAAGGGGGAGGGUGACAAAUAGUAACCCUUUCAAAGUGAACUCUGCCUGCUAUUUAUGCUGCGCUGUGGGCAGGAGAACGUCCCAUUUGGGAGUGCUGUUGACCAGUGGCAACAGGAUUUCCCUGCACCCUGCCCAUUUAUCCAAAUUCCUGUGUAAAUACUGGAUAGAGAUAUCAAUUUGUCUGGGCUCCAAUAGUGCCCAGAAAGAGACUAUAAGCUAUCUAUAGAAAGCUCCACAACAAACUUGGCCUCUGUGGUCACAGAAUUGCCACCUAGUUAUUUCCUCAGUAGAGAGAUCCAGGAACUGUGAGUGAGAAUGGGAGCUGCUAUGCUUUAGUUCUAAAGCAGAAAGCUUACUGAAAAGCUCACACCAGACUAGAACUUGAAAGGUACAACAAUAGAUCCAGGGGGAACACCUUUGGCAACUAGCAGCAGGAGAAGGCAGCCAUUUUGGGGCUGCUGUUUUGAUGUCUUU